rnacentral:rRNA from 1 species
GGAGAGGGAGCCUGAGAAACGGCUACCACAUCCAAGGAAGGCAGCAGGCGCGCAAAUUACCCACUCUCGGCACGAGGAGGUAGUGACGAAAAAUAACGAGGCGGUUCUCUAUGAGGCCCGCUAUCGGAAUGGGUACAAUUUAAACCCUUUAACGAGGACCUAUGAGAGGGCAAGUCUGGUGCCAGCAGCCGCGGUAAUUCCAGCUCUCAAGGUGUAUAUCGCCAUUGCUGCGGUUAAAAAGCUCGUAGUUGGAUCUGCGCCUUCGGACUCGGUCCGCCCAACGGGUGUGAACUGGGAUCCAAGGCUUAUACUGCUGGUUUUCCCUUGAUGCUCUUUACUGGGUGUCUUGGGUGGCUAGCGAGUUUACUUUGAAAAAAUUAGAGUGCUCAACACAGGCUAACGCCUGAAUACUCGUGCAUGGAAUAAUAGAAUAAGACCACGGUUCUAUUUUAUUGGUUUUCGGAACUGUGAUAAUGGUUAAGAGGGACAGACGGGGGCAUUCGUAUCGCUGCGUGAGAGGUGAAAUUCUUGGACCGCAGCGAGACGCCCUACUGCGAAAGCAUUUGCCAAGAAUGUCUUCGUUAAUCAAGAACGAAAGUCAGAGGUUCGAAGGCGAUCAGAUACCGCCCUAGU